rnacentral:rRNA from 1 species
UACGAAGGGGGCUAGCGUUGCUCGGAAUCACUGGGCGUAAAGGGUGCGUAGGCGGGUCUUUAAGUCAGGGGUGAAAUCCUGGAGCUCAACUCCAGAACUGCCUUUGAUACUGAGGAUCUUGAGUUCGGGAGAGGUGAGUGGAACUGCGAGUGUAGAGGUGAAAUUCGUAGAUAUUCGCAAGAACACCAGUGGCGAAAGCGGCUUCCUGGUCCGACACCGACGUCAGGCACGAAAGCGUGGGGAGCAAACAGG